UACAGAGUAGAAAAUAAAGCGUUAAGUGCCGACGGGAUGGGAUGUUGCCUGUUGGACGAAGAAUUUAUUUCGCGAUUUUAUUUUCGCAUUCGCUGCA
rnacentral:ncRNA from 2 species